rnacentral:rRNA from 1 species
UACGUAGGGUGCAAGCGUUAAUCGGAAUUACUGGGCGUAAAGCGUGCGCAGGCGGUUGUGUAAGUCAGAUGUGAAAUCCCCGGGCUCAACCUGGGAAUUGCAUUUGAGACUGCACGGCUAGAGUGUGUCAGAGGGGGGUAGAAUUCCACGUGUAGCAGUGAAAUGCGUAGAGAUGUGGAGGAAUACCGAUGGCGAAGGCAGCCCCCUGGGAUAACACUGACGCUGAAGCACGAAAGCGUGGGGAGCAAACAGG